UUGAACUGAGAUGUAUUAAACUGCAGUUACAGCAGUUCGCCACCAGUUGGCACAUGGAGCAAGGUGAGCACUCCUGACUCAGCGAGCCAACGGCAAUUUAGUGCGGUAACGGCUAGACAGCGGAGGCGUUCACUGUCGCUCUUGUCUGUGUUAACAGCAGGGUUUGGGACACCAUCAGAUCUUUUACCGCCUGGCACUAUAGCAUCAUCUGUCCUGUCGAAAGCCUCCCCAUUAAAUACGAGUCAAUGCAUGAAAUUUAGUUUUAGCAUAAAAACAACUGGGCUUGAUAAAAUGACAAGAAAUGCAGAAAAAAUUACUCAACGAAUUAUCACUGCUGGUAUUAUGGCUGGAAGAUCACAAAAAAGUACAGACACUUCCAGGUCAGAUAAUCGAGCCAAGAUACUGAAGAUGAUCUCAGUCCUUGCAGAGCUGCACAAGACCUUCAACAGCACACUGAGUUCACAAAUCACUCUUAUCCCUCAUGCAAACAGCAAAAAUCCUAGAAGAAAAAGUAAAGUGCUCCCUGCUCCAGUAAAGACAACUGCUGCCUCUCUGCCAGCCUCGCAGACCACUGCUUCCAGGUCAAGCCCAGACUCUAUUGCCCUGAGUAUGCCGGGCCGAAACUUCAGGAAGUCUCUGCCACCACAGACCAAGAAGACCAACAAAAGAGUGUGUUUCUGGAAGUACUGUUCCCAGAACUGAAGUCUGCCAGCUAACACUGGUGUCCACUCAACACUAGUCACCUAUGUCUGAUCUUCCUACCGGUGAUGUCUUCUCAACUAAUCAUCAACUCAACCAUCUAUCCCAACAGAGCCAGCCACAAAUAGUUCUCUUUUCUUGUUCUGUUCCUGUUUCAUUGUCAAGAACUUUGAAUGAGCAGUGUAAGGUUAAACUUGUUAUUUUACAGUAAUGAAAUGGUUACAUAGAGGUUAUCAAUAGUGCAAACAGAAUACCUGCUACAACAAUAAGUUGACUGUAUAUAAAAUGGUGAAUGUAUCCUUUCCUCUGCUGUGUCUUUUCUCUGACUUGUGCUAGGAGACUGUUGCCAGGCUUCAGAAAGCACCAUGUCUACCCUCAGGCUGGCGCCAGUCUUGACUUGGCCCUUUUCAUUUACUCAUUUAUUAACAAGACUGACCAAUCAAAAACAGACGAUGUGUGCUCGUGGUCUGGGCACAUGAACAGAUAGCUUUGUUAACCACAUUCUGUUAAAGGAUGGGCACAUGUCAGUUUUGUGUUUGUGCCAUGUUUAAAAUAAAAUUCAUCUGUUGCAUGACAAACAGCAGCCAUGGCGACAAUGUAUGAAAAAUGUCAUCAGCUUUCUGUAGUUUCACUGUCAGUUUGAUUUAAACUUUCAUGAUUUUAAAACUGAUGUUGCUGUAUAAAAAGUUGCCCUUUUGGAGUAUUUAGUAGAGUUUAAUUCCAAAAGUUUUAUUUACAAACUGGAACAAAAAUAAAACACA